UCAGACCUACUGCAGGCAGAAGCACACAGACCUGCCCUCCAUCCUAAACUCUGAGCAACAGAACCAACUUAUGGACACUCUUACAUCUGCUGGACACAGCUCUGAUGUCUGGAUUGGUCUGUUUAGUAAAAUCCACUGGAAAUGGUCUGAUGGUUACACUGGGAGUGGAGCGGACUACAGAUGCUGGAGUACUUCAAAUCCACCUGGUUUUAGUUAUUCUGAUGAGUUAUGCGUUGUAUCAUACCAGAGUGGUACAUGGUUUGAUGCUCAGUGUUCAAACAAUCGUCCAUUUUUAUGUUACAAUGGUUCACAGUUGGAUCCUGAAUUUGUUUAUGUGAAUACACUGAUGAGUUGGUCCAGUGCUCAGAUGUACUGCAGAGAGAACUUUACUGACCUGGCGACCAUAACAAGUUACACACAGAACCAGCGAGUCAAGAGCUUGAUACCUCCUAAUCAUUAUCCAUGGAUUGGUCUAUAUAGAGAUCCAGAUCAUCACUGGUCUGAUGGGAGAAGCAUCCUCUUUACCAACUGGGAUUCAGGUCUUAAUCGGAUUGGCUCAAUGACGGUCAUAUGCGGAGCUACAUCUACUGGGAGAUCAGGGAGAUGGAAGUUUUUACCCUGUGAAACAAAAUUACCAUUUGUUUGUUAUGGUGCUCCUGUCAUAAAACAGGUGGUGAGACUCAGACUGCAUGUAGACGACUCGGUGGAUCUGAAUGACCCUGUUCUAAGAGAGAAUAUCCUGAGAGAGGCAAGUUUGAAAUUAUGACAGUUUGUAUCGAAAUCAAUAUUUAACUUUGAUAUUAAUAUUCAAAAAUCUAUAUUUGUAUGUAUUCUAAUGUUGUCCUGCAGCUC